rnacentral:tRNA from 2 species
GCCCCUGUAGCUCAGGCGGAUAGAGCAAUGGUUUCCUAAACCAUGCGGCCCGGUUCGAGUCCGGGCAGGGGUACCA